CAAUAGCGUAUAUUAAAGUUGUUGCGGUUAAAAAGCUCGUAGUUGGAUUUCUGCCGAGGACGACCGGUCCGCCCUCUGGGUGUGUAUCUGGUUUGGCCUGGGCAUCUUCUUGGAGAACGUAGCUGCACUUGACUGUGUGGUGCGGUGUCCAGGACUUUUACUUUGAGGAAAUUAGAGUGUUUAAAGCAGGCAAUCGCUUGAAUACAUUAGCAUGGAAUAAUAAGAUAGGACUUUGGUACUAUUUUGUUGGUUUGCAUACCAAAUUAAUGAUCAACAGGAACAGUUUGAGGAUAUUCGUAUGAACAUGUCAGAGGUGAAAUUCUUGGAUUUUGAUCAGACGAACUACUGCGAAAGCAUUUAUCAAGGAUGUUUUCAUUAA
rnacentral:rRNA from 1 species